GACGAACGCUGGCGGCGUGCCUAAUACAUGCAAGUAGAACGCAGUUGCGAACGGGUGAGUAACGCGUCGGUAACUGCCCUAUAGCGGGGGAUAACUAAUGGAAACGAUAGCUAAUACCGCAUUCUGUGAGAUGGACCUGCGUUGUUUUAGGUAGUUGGUUGGGUUAAGGCUGACCAAGGCGGCGAUACAUAGCCGACCUGAGAGGGUGGUCGGGCACACGGGGACUGAGACACGGCCCAGACUCCUACGGGAGGCAGCCGUAGGGAAACUUCGGCAAUGGACCGAAGUCUGACCGAGCAAAGCCGCGUGAGUGAAGGAGGUUUUCGGAUCUUAAAGCUCUGUUGUUAGAGAAGCGUUAACUAACCAAAAAGGGACGGCUAACUACGUGCCAGCAGCCGCGGUAAUUC
rnacentral:rRNA from 1 species